GUGGGUGUUUUUCUUUUUCUUGUAUUUCUAAAGUUUUUUUUAUAAAUAAUUUGGAACCAAAUCGAAGGACUAACGAGUUCUGUCCCCUAGUUGUUUUAAGCUUGUAAUAGAUUCAGAUUAAGUAUGCUAAUUAGAUAUGUGCGCAUAAAAAGUGCGCACAAAUCUCAGUGUGUAAUUUUAAAUUCUCAGUGUGUAAUGUCAAAUUCUCAGUGUGUGUUUUCAGUUUAUUUAUUCUCAAUGUGUCUUUUUGAAAUCUCAGUGUGUAAUUUUCAAUUCUCAGUGUGUAAUUUUCAAUUCUCAGUGUGUGUUUUUCAUUUUUGUAAUCUCAGUGCGUCUUUAUGAAAUCUCAGUGUGUAAUUUUUAAUUCUCAGUGUGUAAUUGUAAUUCUCA
rnacentral:lncRNA from 1 species